GAAAAGAAAAGAAAGAAAGAAAGAUCAGAUUCUAAUAUUACUAUCAUAAUUUAUAUUGAACACUCGGUGAGCUCAGAAGUGCUCAUCUUUUGUGCGGAGUAAUGGGAAGAUUAGCAUUACGAAGAUCUGGAAAGCCUGACUUUUUAAGUGACUUUGGCAUCUUGUGUGCACAGCAAUGUGAAGUUCGGUAUUCUGAGAAUGACCUAGAAAUACCGACUUGAAGCAUCUUUUGUGCGGAGUAAUGGGAAGAUUAGCAUUACGAAGAUCUGGAAAACCUGACUUUUAAAGUGACUUUGGCGUCUUGUGUGCACAGCAAUGUGAAGUUCGGUAUUCUGAGAAUGACCCGGAAAGCCUGACUUGAAGAUGGUGCUAAACACCAGAGUGUUAACAGGAACCAUCUGGGAUUUACUUGUACGCCACAGGUUGGGAGAAACUUGGCAUGAAGAUUGGAAUCCCAGGUAGAGAUGGCUGUUUGAGUUUGUGCAUGAUUUCUGAAAUGUUUACUUCAGAACACUAAAAAUAAACUUUUUUUUUUAAAGUG